GAGUUUGAUCUUGGCUCAGAACGAACGCUGGCGGCAUGCCUAAUACAUGCAAGUCGAACGCUCGUAGCAAUACGGGAGUGGCGGACGGGUGAGUAACGCGUGGGAACCUGCCCAGUGGUAGGGAAUAACCGCGGGAAACUGCGGCUAAUACCCUAUGAGCCCUACGGGGGAAAGAUUUAUCGCCAUUGGAGGGGCCCGCGUCGGAUUAGCUAGUUGGUGGGGUAACGGCCCACCAAGGCGACGAUCCGUAGCUGGUCUGAGAGGAUGAUCAGCCACACUGGGACUGAGAUACGGCCCAGACUCCUACGGGAGGCAGCAGUAGGGAAUAUUGGACAAUGGGCGAAAGCCUGAUCCAGCAAUGCCGCGUGAGUGAAGAAGGCCUUAGGGUUGUAAAGCUCUUUCGGCGGGGAAGAUGAUGACGGUACCCGCAGAAGAAGCCCCGGCUAACUUCGUGCCAGCCGCCGCAG
rnacentral:rRNA from 1 species